UUAGUAAAUGGAUCAGGAGGUUUUUGUUAAGGCUCAUCAGGGAUCCACCAUUCCUGCUAGCUACACUGUUGAUGUGUGUUACUGCUGGCCCUUUCAUCAUACUGGGCUUCUUCAUAGAAACUCCAAAUUGGAGUUAUUGGUUUGAGGGACUUUAUUUCAUUUUGGAGGUAUUACCAGAGACGGUUGAUAAAGCAUUUUUUCCAUUACUCAGUCCUUCUGAAAUUGGUAUAACACUAGUGGCGCUAGGCUUUGUCUGCACUGUGGCUAAAACUGGUGUGGACCGUCCACUGGCCAUUCUAAAACAGAGGUUGCUUGGAGUUCACUCUAAGUUUGACUCAUUUGCGUGGGACGUUGAGUUUGCCUUGUGGCAAGAGAAGUGCAAAGUCAUUGGUACAAGCUGCGCCAAAAAAAUGAGAAGAAAGUAUGACUUUUUGGAGAAAAGGGAAAAACUUAAGAAGGGGCCUUACGAUGAGCAGAAGGAAUUGGCCAAGCGCUUCUAUGAUGGCAGAAUGAAAUACUUUGGGUAUCAAAACUACCUACAUUUCUUACUAAAAAACGGGGAAGAACUGGCACAACAUCUCAGGGCGUCGGUGUCGGAGCAGUACCCGGCAGGUGACCCACUGCUCAUUGAAGAAAUAGCUCUGGCCCGAAUGAUAUUGAAACAGGAGACCAGA